rnacentral:rRNA from 1 species
GACGAACGCUGGCGGCGUGCUUAACACAUGCAAGUCGAACGGAAAGGCCCCUUUGGGGGUCCUCGAGUGGCGAACGGGUGAGUAACACGUGAGUAACCUGCCCUUGACUUCGGGAUAACUUCAGGAAACUGGGGCUAAUACCGGAUAGGAAUCCUUGCUGCAUGGUGGGGGUUGGAAAGCUUCGGCGGUUUUGGAUGGACUCGCGGCUUAUCAGCUUGUUGGUGGGGUAGUGGCUUACCAAGGCUUUGACGGGUAGCCGGCCUGAGAGGGCGACCGGCCACAUUGGGACUGAGAUACGGCCCAGACGCCUACGGGAGGCAGGAGGGGGGAAUAUUGCACAAUGGGCGGAAGCCUGAUGCAGAAACGCCGCGUGCGGGAUGACGGCCUUCGGGUUGUAAACCGCUUUCAGCAGGGGCGAAGCUUGUGGUGACGGUACCUGCAGAAGAAGCACCGGCUAACUACGUG